rnacentral:rRNA from 1 species
GAUGAACGCUGGCGGCGUGCCUAAUACAUGCAAGUCGAGCGAAUGGAUUAAGAGCUUGCUCUUAUGAAGUUAGCGGCGGACGGGUGAGUAACACGUGGGUAACCUGCCCAUAAGACUGGGAUAACUCCGGGAAACCGGGGCUAAUACCGGAUAAUAUUUUGAACUGCAUGGUUCAAAAUUGAAAGGCGGCUUCGGCUGUCACUUAUGGGUGGACCCGCGUCGCAUUAGCUAGUUGGUGAGGUAACGGCUCACCAAGGCAACGAUGCGUAGCUGACAGGGGAGGGUGAUCGGCCACACCGGGACUGAUAAACGGCCCGGACUCCUACGGGAGGCAGCAGUAGGGAAUCUUCCGCGAUGGACGAAAGUCUGACGGAGCAACGCCGCGUGAGUGAUGAAGGCUUUCGGGUCGUAAAACUCUGUUGUCAGGGAAGAACAAGUGCUAGUUGAAUAAGCUGGCACCUUGACGGUACCUAACCAGAAAGCCACGGCUAACUACGUGCCAGCCGCCGCGGUAA